UACGGAGGAUGCGAGCGUUAUCCGGAUUUAUUGGGUUUAAAGGGUGCGUAGGCGGCUUUUUAAGUCAGCGGUGAAAUUUUGCAGCUUAACUGUAACAGUGCCGUUGAUACUGCAUGGCUAGGAUUUGGUUGCUGUGGGUGGAAUGUGUGGUGUAGCGGUGAAAUGCUUAGAUAUCACACAGAAUAUCGAUUGCGAAGGCAGCUCACAAAGCCAAGAUUGACGCUGAGGCACGAAAGCGUGGGGAUCGAACA
rnacentral:rRNA from 1 species